GUGCUGAUGAAGAGUCCCAAACUAAGACGACACAGCUGUCCAGCAC
rnacentral:hammerhead_ribozyme from 1 species